ensembl:lincRNA
AUGCAUUCAUUCCUCCAAGGGACCAGAGCCAGGUAUGCCGCGCUCUACCAAAGGGGUGGGGCCAAGCCUGCAGCUUCCCCCCUGCAGGCGGGGCCAGGCCUGCGGUACUUCACCUGGGGACCCUGCCAGCCCUGCAGCAUUCCAUUAAGACGUCAGGCACAUGCCUGCUGCUGGCACCCAGGAGGCAGUUCUGAAGAGCACAGUUGGAUGGAGGUUUAUGUAUAUACAGACCAUGCUAUGCCGCAAAGUUCAGCAAGCAGAUUCUUCCCACCUCCCUCUGGUGGUCAGCUCACACUGUCAGAAAGAAGGGGGCUGGGCUGAGACUGGAAGUGGGAGGAGCAGUUCUCACAGUAAAGAGAAGGAGGUGGCAGCUCAGAUGGUGAUGAGCUAAGAGGUGUGACAGCCUGUGGGGUGAGGGGAGAGGCACCUAUGUCUCCAGCUUGGCAGGAAGGUCCAGGAGCAGCAGAGACACAACAGCGGUUGAGAGAAAGCAGGUCAGAUGCUUUGCAACCUGGAGUGUCAGGCUCUCCGUUUUCUCUCUUGAUAGAUCCGUGAGCCAGACUGUGUGCUGUGUCUCAGUACUUUGUUUUUCAGGCUAUCAGUGUUUUUACAUGUAUCAAGGAUUUUUUGGUUUUGCUAUAAUUAUUGCCUUUCAAAUAAUAUUUUCUGUGGGACUAUACCUCCAGUUAUGGAUCAAGUCUAAAAUACUCUGACAUUGCAUUUGUUUCCCAAUUUUGACUCUUUCAAAACCACUUUGAUAUGAACGUUGUGAUGAAAAUAGGAAGGCUAGCACGUCUAUGGGGUCGCACAGAGUCGGAUACAACUGAAGCGACUUAGCAGCAGCAGCAGCACUGAUCUGGGCUUCCCAGGUAGCUCAGUUGGUAAAGAAUCUGCCUGCAAUGCUGGAGACCCCGUUCAAUUCCUGGGUCAGGAAGUUCCCCUGGAGAAGGGAUAGACUACCCACUUCGGUGUUCUUGGACUUCCCUGGUGAUUCAACUGGUAAAGAAUCCUCCUGCAAUGUGAGAGACUGGGGUUUGACCCCUGCAUUGGGGAAAUCCCUUGGAGGAGGGCAUGGCAACUGACUUCCAGUAUUCUUGCCUGGAGAAUCCCCAUGGACAGAGGAGCUUGGCGGGCUGCAGUCCAUGGGGUCGCAAAGCGUGGGACAUGACUGAGGGAACAAGCACAUCACAGCAGCACAGCACUUCUUUCCUGGUGGGUGUGGACGUGUUUCGUCAUAAGGCCAGCAUUUCUUUAAUUCUAGAAGGCAGCCUCAAAGAGUUCUCUUGAUUAGCCAAGUGAAUGUCCAUCCCAGCAUCGUAUAUGAGAGCUCUGAACUUUCUACAUCCUCAGCAGCUCUCGUCUUACCUGCAGGCUCAGUUUUCAGCACUGCACUCCAUUGUGGUAGUAUCUCAUUGUCCUUUUCAUUUAUUUCCCUUCUGUGCAAUGAUGUGGAACCAUUUGAAUAUUUGCUUUUGUGAAAUUCCUGUUUGAUUUCUUGCUCAUUUAAUAAUAAAAAUUGGGCAGUCUUUUUUGAAAAAAAAAAAGAAAGCUUGAAUUCUUUAUUCUGUAUGUGUAUUUUUAAAAAUUGACGUUAAUGGAUUUAUAAUGUUGUGUUAGUUCCACAGUGUAGCAAAGUGGUUCAGUUAUAUAUAUAUAUAUAUAUUCUCUUCAGGUUCUUUUCCAUGUAUAAUAUAUGAAACAUGUAUAUUCUUUUCAGGUUGUUUUCCAUCAUAGCUUACUACAAGGUGCCAAGUAGUGUUUCCUGUGCUAUAUAUUUGGUCCUUGUUGGUUAUCUACUUUAUAUAUAAUAGUGUGUACAUGUUAAUUCCAAACCUCUAAUUUGUCCCUUUACAAAAUGAGUCUUUUUUUUUUCUUUUUCUGCCUUUUUUUUCUUUUUUUUUUUUUUUGUUUUUUAUUUUUUAAAUUUUAAAAUCUUUAAAUCUUACAUGCAUUCCCAAACAUGAACCUCCCUCCCACCUCCCUCCCCAUAACAUCUUUCUGGGUCAUCCCCAUGCACCAGCCCCAAGCAUGCUGCAUCCUGCGUCAGACAUAGACUGGCGAUUCAAUUCACAUGAUAGUAUACAUGUUAGAAUGUCAUUCUCCCAAAUCAUCCCACCCUCUCCCUCUCCCUCUGAGUCCAAAAGUCCGUUAUACACAUCUGUGUCUCUUUCCCUGUCUUGCAUACAGGGUCGUCAUUGCCAUCUUCCUAAAUUCCAUAUAUAUGUGUUAGUAUACUGUAUUGGUGUUUUUCUUUCUGGCUUACUUCACUCUGUAUAAUCGGCUCCAGUUUCAUCCAUCUCAUCAGAACUGAUUCAAAUGAAUUCUUUUUAACGGCUGAGUAAUACUCCAUUGUGUAUAUGUACCACAGCUUUCUUAUCCAUUCAUCUGCUGAUGGACAUCUAGGUUGUUUCCAUGUCCUGGCUAUUAUAAACAGUGCUGCGAUGAACAUUGGGGUACAUGUGUCUCUUUC